CGUCAUUUCGUGACGUCAAGAAUAGUCAGUAAAUGACCAUUUUGGGACGUCAAAAUGAGCUUGCUACCUGGGUAAGUCAACGAAAUUUUGAGGUUAGCCUAACCCCUGUGUGUAGAAAUCGAAAGAAAAAUAAGGUGUAGAGGGUUAAUAGAUCUCUGAUAUAAUAAUAUUAUAAUAUAAAAGGCAAAAAAGAUAAAUUUGUAAGAAAAAGAUCAAGUCUUUUCCUUUUCUAACAGUUUAGAAUAAGUGUAUUUGAUUACUUUAAUUAAUUAAAAAUAUUUCAUACAUGAUGCAUACAACAAAUAAUUAUUCUCUGCUACACUUUUUUCGCAAAAUUUUCAAUUGUGUUUCAGUUUUAUAACAUUUUUUUUACAUAAAAUAUUUUAUUGUACAAAAUAAGUUAUUACUUUCUUUUUCUAUCUUUGUUCAAGUUUCAUCAACCUUUUUAUAUAUGUGUUUACAAUGUAUAUUUACAAAGUACAUGUUAAAUUCAUUCCACUGAACAAUAUGUCACUAAGAAACUUAUUACAGUUAAUUUGUAUAAAAGAGUUAUUAAUUACAAAAUUUUCCAGAUAGACGCAGAAGCAGCGAUACCAGACGUGGAUAGAUAGAUGUGAUGUUGUCGCAGCAUAAACUCAAUCGUUAUUCCAAUCAUAUGACCGAGAUUCCAUUCUCUGUCGCGAUCAUGGUGUAAGAAUAUACAAUAAUCCCGCACAAAGGCACCCAAUCAGGAAAUACGCUGUUUGAAGACAAAUAAAUAAUAGUUUUUUUUAAUACAAUGUUCUUCAUAAAAUAAAACUAUUAUGCAUUUUAAUUUAUUUGCAAUUAGAGUAAAUCAUGUUCUAUUAAUAAGAGCGCUGAAAUAUGUCCAGAUAGCCAGGCCUGCUAAAAUCACAUAUCAUGAAAGCUUUAGCAAAGAUUAUUUCAAUUUUAACAACAAUUUUAUGACAAGUAAUUGUCUUUUGCUUUGUCUUUUAAAAGUUUCGAGCAAAUUUAUGACAAAAGUUUUCAUCACAUAAUGCUAUAAAUAAUAGAGAAAGACUUGUACAUAAAUAUUACGUAGAAAAAUCGCAAAGUUUGCUCGGCAUGAUAAAAUGCAAAAUUUACGUAAAUAACAACAAACCUUACCACACGAUAUGACACUAAAUUUAUGACAAGAACAGAAAAAAUCUUGCUAAGCGGAAUAGUAAAUUAGUAGCAAGAACAAAAUAAAACUUGCCGAGCACACUUUUCAACAAAAUUGCGAUCACAAGGUGUGUCCGCAAAUAGCUUAGUUUUUGCUAGCAAGGCUUGUUGCAAAUAGUAUGAUGCAUAUUUUAUGCAAAUAACACAGUUGCAUUAUCGGGUUUUAACAAGGACUUCAUUUUUGGGUGACUUCACUAUCUACCCCAAGAUGGUACAUUUCUCAUGAAAAUUCAUCUAUUGGGUAAAUAAAAGGGAGAAUAGAAAACCAACCAACACAAUUACCAUUCACAUAUAUUAUAAUUGGACUGAUCAGUCCAAUAUUUCAUUUUUAUUGAUCUUAUUUCGACAAGAUUUGCUUUGUUCUUGCCGCAAAUUUGCUAUCAUGCUAUGUACAGUAAGGUUUGCCUUGUUCUUGCUAUUAUGCUUUACUAGCAAGUUUUACUCUGUUAUUUGCAUAACAUAUGCGUCAUACUAUUUAUGACAAGCUUUGCCAAUAAAAGCUAAGCUUUUUGCGGACACAUCUUGUCGCAAUUUUGCUGCGAAGGUUUGCUCGAGUUUUGCUAAAAACUUUGCGCCAAGUUUGCGUCAUUUUGCUAGCUAGAUGUAUAAUUUUACAUAAAAACGCCUCUUAUCGAUAACGUGACAUUACUGUUUACGUUUACAUUCACGAUAUUAUUAUAUCUUGAAUAAGGUGACCAGACGUCCCGAAUUGUGCGGGACAGUCCCGGAUUGUAGCUGUUUAUCUCGCAUUCAGACUGUCCCGGAAAAGACCGAAUUCUCCCGGAUUUUUAAACUCUUUUAUACAUUUUUACCAUUUUGAGCAUUUACAUGUUCAGUGACACAAGUUCCCUUAGAUGGCGCUAAUAUUUUAUACGGUAUCAGUAUUAUUUGCUAUUUCAUGCUGUGCGUGAUAGAUUGCCAGAUGAUGCUCUUGUUGUUAACUUGUUCUGUAUGAGUUUGGGGAUUUAAUCUUUCUAACUCUAACAUAAGUUUUAAGACUUUUAGACUAACCUAAAAUUAUUUUAUUUAUAUAUUAUUAUUAAAUUUAGUGCAUACAAUAAAAAGUAUGUAUUAAUUCUUUAUAUUAAUUAGAAUAGAAUUUAAUAUUAGAGUAAAUAGAUUUUAAUUUGAAUAAGUUCUAAAAAAAUGUGUUUUCAAAUAACUAUAUGUCAAAGAAAUGACUUUAUACAUUUACAAAUGAAUUAAAAAACAAAUUUGUUUUUAUAAAAAGGGCAAACUUGAAAACAAUGUCCACUGUGAUAUUUAUAAUAGCGAUUUCUCAAUUGGAUCAGGAGAUAAAAAUGACAUUAAAAGACAUAUUUUACCUGAUAAACACAAACGAGCAUUAAUUGCAACUUCUUCAGCAAAAUUGAGUGAUAUACUAUUUUCGUAUAGCCCAGUCAAAUUAGACUAAAAGGAUCAAAUUUCGGACCUCACCGAUUUCAAUGACCUUGAUAUAUGUUGUCAAGGUUAUUAUUCUGAACAAUUUUUCCCUAUACAUGUUACUACCGCUCGGCCUUAGUUUCCGAUUUAUACACAAAAAUUUUUCUUUAAUUUCUUGCUUCAAUUUCAUUAGUUUUGAGACAGAGGGGAGAGUAGGGUGCAAAAAACGUGUGGACAAGCUGCAGGAGGAGAAGCUUUGUUUUUCUGCUUUGCUCUGUAAGUAGGGGGAGGUGUAAAAAAGGGGUAAAAAACGUUUGAAAAUGUUUUAGUUUUAUUUUGUGUAGAAAGUCAUAAAACUUAUGUGAUAUAGAGAACGCGUGGGCUCUGCCCCUCUCCCUACACCUUCUCCUCGUAAUUUAUCCUAACUCUAACCCACCAAUUUUAUGUCGCUAUUUGGUUAAUGUGAAAACAUUGGACACGAACAGCGUGGAAAGUCACAAACCCAUGUGGUACUGUAUAAGCGUGGACGCCGUUUAUUUUACAUAAAACACUGAUAUCAUAUAUCGUAUUUAUAAAACGAAGCCCCUCCCUCACCCACGCGUUCUCUAUGCCACAUAAGUUUCAUGACUUUCCACACAAAACAAAAUUAAAACAUUUACAAUAAUAAAAGAAUAUAAUUUUUAUCAUUUUUAUUCCUCAGAGAAUGUAUACAUAGUUAUCAAAAAAAGCAUCAAUACAAUUCAUGAAAAUUAUAACAACGCGACGUCGAAAUAGAAAUUCUGCUAAAUAUCCACACAGUUAUUCCUUACAAACAUACAUACAGUAUUUUUGCACAUUUUUAUCUAGAGCAUCCCGACGGGGUGAGUGCGGGAAGGAAGUCGAAAGCCCUCCUUCCGUGUGUGUGUGUAUAUGUGCGUGCGACCACAGUGAAGAAAUGUCGUAUCGUAUUUAUUAAACUUUUUUUGUUAAUAAAUUUUUGUGUAUAACUCGAAAACUAUUGCCGAGCGGCAGCAACAUAUAUAGAAAAAAGUUGUUCAGAAUAACGACCCUAAUAACAUAAAUCAAGGUCAUUGAAGUCGGUGAGGUCGCCCUUAUUCUGCAUAAUUACCAAAAAUA